rnacentral:rRNA from 1 species
GAUGAACGCUGGCGGCGUGCCUAAUACAUGCAAGUCGAGCGAACGGACGAGAAGCUUGCUUCUCUGAUGUUAGCGGCGGACGGGUGAGUAACACGUGGAUAACCUACCUAUAAGACUGGGAUAACUUCGGGAAACCGGAGCUAAUACCGGAUAAUAUUUUGAACCGCAUGGUUCAAAAGUGAAAGACGGUCUUGCUGUCACUUAUAGAUGGAUCCGCGCUGCAUUAGCUAGUUGGUAAGGUAACGGCUUACCAAGGCAACGAUGCAUAGCCGACCUGAGAGGGUGAUCGGCCACACUGGAACUGAGACACGGUCCAGACUCCUACGGGAGGCAGCAGUAGGGAAUCUUCCGCAAUGGGCGAAAGCCUGACGGAGCAACGCCGCGUGAGUGAUGAAGGUCUUCGGAUCGUAAAACUCUGUUAUUAGGGAAGAACAUAUGUGUAAGUAACUGUGCACAUCUUGACGGUACCUAAUCAGAAAGCCACGGCUAACUACGUGCCAGCAGCCGCGGUAAUACGUAGGCGGCAAGCGUUAUCCGGAAUUAUUGGGCGUAAAGCGCGCGUAGGCGGUUUUUUAAGUCUGAUGUGAAAGCCCACGGCUCAACCGUGGAGGGUCAUUGGAAACUGGAAAACUUGAGUGCAGAAGAGGAAAGUGGAAUUCCAUGUGUAGCGGUGAAAUGCGCAGAGAUAUGGAGGAACACCAGUGGCGAAGGCGACUUUCUGGUCUGUAACUGACGCUGAUGUGCGAAAGCGUGGGGAUCAAACAGGAUUAGAUACCCUGGUAGUCCACGCCGUAAACGAUGAGUGCUAAGUGUUAGGGGGUUUCCGCCCCUUAGUGCUGCAGCUAACGCAUUAAGCACUCCGCCUGGGGAGUACGACCGCAAGGUUGAAGCUCAAAGGAAUUGACGGGGACCCGCACAAGCGGUGGAGCAUGUGGUUUAAUUCGAAGCAACGCGAAGAACCUUACCAAAUCUUGACAUCCUUUGACAACUCUAGAGAUAGAGCUUUCCCCUUCGGGGGACAAAGUGACAGGUGGUGCAUGGUUGUCGUCAGCUCGUGUCGUGAGAUGUUGGGUUAAGUCCCGCAACGAGCGCAACCCUUAAGCUUAGUUGCCAUCAUUAAGUUGGGCACUCUAAGUUGACUGCCGGUGACAAACCGGAGGAAGGUGGGGAUGACGUCAAAUCAUCAUGCCCCUUAUGAUUUGGGCUACACACGUGCUACAAUGGACAAUACAAAGGGCAGCGAAACCGUGAGGUCAAGCAAAUCCCAUAAAGUUGUUCUCAGUUCGGAUUGUAGUCUGCAACUCGACUACAUGAAGCUGGAAUCGCUAGUAAUCGUAGAUCAGCAUGCUACGGUGAAUACGUUCCCGGGUCU